rnacentral:rRNA from 1 species
UACGUAGGGGGCUAGCGUUGUCCGGAUUUAUUGGGCGUAAAGAGCGUGUAGGCGGCCAGGUAGGUCUGCUGUGAAAACUCGAGGCUCAACCUCGAGACGUCGGCGGAAACCAUCUGGCUAGAGUCCGGAAGAGGAGAGUGGAAUUCCUGGUGUAGCGGUGAAAUGCGCAGAUAUCGUAAGGAAGACCAGUGGCGAAGGCGAGUCUCUGGACAGUUACCGACGCUGAGGCACGAAGGUCAGGGGAGCAAACGGG